rnacentral:rRNA from 1 species
UACGGGGGGGGCAAGCGUUGUUCGGAAUUACUGGGCGUAAAGGGCUCGUAGGCGGCCAACUAAGUCAGACGUGAAAUCCCCAGGCUCAACCUGGGAACUGCGUCUGAUACUGGAUGGCUUGAAUCCGGGAGAGGGAUGCAGAAUUCCAGGUGUAGCGGUGAAAUGCGUAGAUAUCUGGAGGAACACCGGUGGCGAAGGCGGCAUCCUGGACCAUUACUGACACUGAAAAGCGAAAGCCAGGGGAGCAAACGGG